rnacentral:rRNA from 1 species
CAGCAGCCGCGGUAAUACAGAGGGUGCAAGCGUUAAUCGGAAUUACUGGGCGUAAAGCGCGCGUAGGUGGUUUGUUAAGUUGGAUGUGAAAGCCCCGGGCUCAACCUGGGAACUGCAUCCAAAACUGGCAAGCUAGAGUACGGUAGAGGGUGGUGGAAUUUCCUGUGUAGCGGUGAAAUGCGUAGAUAUAGGAAGGAACACCAGUGGCGAAGGCGACCACCUGGACUGAUACUGACACUGAGGUGCGAAAGCGUGGGGAGCAAACAGGAUUAGAUACCCCGGUAGUCCCUGUCUCUUAUAC